AAUGUGGAAAUUCGUGCCAAUCCAUGCCUGGCGCAAAAAAAUCGCUUUAAGUCCCAGUGCAGUUAAUUAGCAGAGACUGAAGCUUAACGAGGCAGAAAAAAUACAUCAUCUCCAUGGUAAAUGUAACAAUAAAAACUGGAAAUUUGUAAUUGAAUCUGCCUUGUGGGAAAGUCCAAGUGUAAAUUGCGAGAAGUGUAAAUAUUACAACACUCAUUCCUCCCCUUCUGCCCUCCCCCCCCCGUAUUACUAUUCCUGCUGAGUAGGGUGUAAGACUUCUACACGGGACGGAGAGCAGAAGGACCGUAUAUACACCUAUUAUCUAUUAAUGCUGAUAUCUGGCCGCCCAAUCAUCAAGCAUCAUCCAACACGGUGCCAUUUUAGCAGCUAAAUAAAAUCUCUCCUGAUAUCAACAAAUCUGUUAAAGAGCUGACAUUCUACUAACUGCCAUCUGGGCCAUGUGAACCCCAUGACAGACCACUUGGUCUUUGCUGCAUUUCUCCACCUGUCUCAGCCACAUAUAAUCUGAUUUCUUCGCUGGGUAACUCUCUAACUGACAUGAAACUGACAAAAGGUUUCCCCUGGGUGCUUUGUGGAUUGAUCUUGGUGAGUUCAUGCCGUGCCUUGUCAGAUCUGACUAUCUGUACCGUCCCGGUGUAUGGGGCCCCAGUAGUGAUCACACAUGGGUCAGACAGAAGCUGUAUGGUCAAUAAGGAGGAUCUCUGCCCCCACAAAGUAUGCACAGGAUUUCCCUUCCAGGCUUGUAUUCUCAAUGAGACCGCCAUCUUGAUCCUGUUCCCAUUGAGCAACCAACGAGAUGUGCGAGUAGAACAUGGAAUUGGGCAGAGGGGCAUCACUGACAUGAUUAACCCUAAGGAAUCCAAAGGUACGAAGCCAGGGUGGCCCUGUAUACUGUGUGCAGGGGAACCCCGAAAUUGUACCUAUGUACUUAUAUGCUUGGGUUUUUGCUAUUAAAAUGCCCCAAAUCUGAAUGUUUAUAACCAAUAUUUGGGUGGGAUUGGCCUGCUGCUAUUCAGUUCUAAAUAGGUUUCAUAGCUCCACCCAGUGACAUCACAGACCCACCUCUUUCCCGCCCCCAUGACAUCAUUUCCCACCCCCAGCCCGGUGACAAAUGCCGACAGAGGUGGAAACUCUACGCAUGGCUUCGGCCAAAUCCGAAUCCUGCUGAAUCUUGGGCAAAUUCCGAGCCAAAUCCUGGAUUCUGUGCUUCCCUAGUUCUAAAUAUGACAUUUAUUUGUAUGAUACAAUGUACAAAAAUGUAUUUAUUAGACAUACAAAAUUGGGUUGGAAUUUGUAUUUACCGGGAGAAUUAAGCUGAGGGAAGUGAUUUACGCCUCACAAUAUUCAGUCAUUAAGAUCAUUACAGUAGCACUUUGUGCAAACAUACUGUUUGCCUAUUUUUUUAAGAUGUAUUUUUACAUUAUUUUUUGCACUAAACAGGAGAACUCAUUGUACUUUCACUUUCCAACUCCCUGGUUCUGCAGACCAGUUGUGGGAGUGGGCAGUUAUUUUAUUUUCCUUUCCCAAUAAAACCCUCAGUGAGAUUUAAAGUACAGCAAUGAGCUGCAUUACACAGGCAGCAUAGGACAGGCAGAGUGCUGCCUGUGUGUGCCAUACUCUGCCUACC